GCCUGGGUGGCUCAGUGGUUGAGCACCUGCCUUUGGCUCAGGUUGUGAUCCGGGUUCAUGGGAUCAAGUCCCACAUUGGGCU
rnacentral:tRNA from 1 species